AUCAUGUUCCCUCUGUCCAACAAAAGAUGUCUCAACUUUGAUUAAAUUUGAAUGCAUCUAUACACUAAGUCAUAUCUAAAUACAUUUAAAUUUUUGCAAACUUGAAACAUCUUUUGUUGGAUGGCGGAAGUAUUAG
rfam:Brachypodium distachyon strain Bd21 chromosome 4, whole genome shotgun sequence.